rnacentral:rRNA from 1 species
UACGAAGGGGGCUAGCGUUGUUCGGAAUUACUGGGCGUAAAGCGCACGUAGGCGGACUAUUAAGUCAGGGGUGAAAUCCCGGGGCUCAACCCCGGAACUGCCUUUGAUACUGGUAGUCUCGAGUCCGGAAGAGGUGAGUGGAAUUCCGAGUGUAGAGGUGAAAUUCGUAGAUAUUAGGAAGAACACCAGUGGCGAAGGCGGCUCACUGGUCCGGUACUGACGCUGAGGUGCGAAAGCGUGGGGAGCAAACAGG